rnacentral:rRNA from 1 species
UGGGGAAUCUUCCGCAAUGGACGAAAGUCUGACGGAGCAACGCCGCGUGAGUGAAGACGGCCUUCGGGUUGUAAAGCUCUGUGAUUCGGGACGAAAGGCCAUAUGUGAAUAAUAUAUGGAUAUGACGGUACCGAAAAAGCAAGCCACGGCUAACUACGUGCCAGCAGCCGCGGUAAUACGUAGGUGGCAAGCGUUGUCCGGAAUUAUUGGGCGUAAAGCGCGCGCAGGCGGUCACUUAAGUCCAUCUUAGAAGUGCGGGGCUUAACCCCGUGAGGGGAUGGAAAGUGGGAGACUGGAGUAUCGGAGAGGAAAGUGGAAUUCCUAGUGUAGCGGUGAAAUGCGUAGAUAUUAGGAAGAACACCGGUGGCGAAGGCGACUUUCUGGACGAAAACUGACGCUGAGGCGCGAAAGCGUGGGGAGCAAACAGG